rnacentral:rRNA from 1 species
UACGGGGGGGGCUAGCGUUGUUCGGAAUUACUGGGCGUAAAGGGCGCGUAGGCGGCGUGACAAGUCACUUGUGAAAUCUCUGAGCUUAACUCAGAACGGCCAAGUGAAACUGUUGUGCUAGAGUGCAGAAGGGGCAAUCGGAAUUCUUGGUGUAGCGGUGAAAUGCGUAGAUAUCAAGAGGAACACCUGAGGUGAAGACGGGUUGCUGGGCUGACACUGACGCUGAGGCGCGAAAGCCAGGGGAGCAAACGGG